UAGGGAAUAUUAGAAAUGGACGAAAGUCUGAUCUAGCAACACCGCGUGUGCGAUGAAGGCCUUCGGGUUGUAAAGCACUUUUUGGAAGGAUUAGGAAGGAAUGUACUUCCAGAAUAAGUCUCGGCUAACUACGUGCCAGCAGCCGCGGUAACACGUAGGAGGCGAACGUUAUCCGGAUUUACUGGGCGUAAAGCGCGUGUAGGUGGUUCUGCAAGUAGGGCGUGAAAGCUCCUGGCUCAACUGGGAGAGGCCGUUCUAAACUGCAGAGCUAGAGGAUAGGAGAGGGAGGUGGAAUUCCGGGUGUAGCGGUGGAAUGCGCAGAUAUCCGGAGGAACACCAGUGGCGAAAGCGGCCUCCUGGGCCAUUCCUGACACUCAGACGCGAAAGCUAGGGUAGCAAACGG
rnacentral:rRNA from 1 species